GUAACGGAAUGAGGGAUCACGAUUUUGCCCUCCUCGUGACGUUUCUGUCUACUACGUUGGAAAACGUUUUGCAACGGGACGUGUUUCCGUAGCUACCUAGGCUGUCUCCUCUUUUCAUUGGUUGUCGGAACCUGACUGACAGCAUCCAAGGGGGUCAGCGGGGGCGGAGGUUGAGUCCCCAGGUUGCGCUUUGCAAAGCAAGGAAAAAGACACUUGUGUGUGAGAGAGGGAGCGAGAGAGAGAAAAGACUUGGCCGCACCCUUUCUUUCCGGGAGAGUACACCGCUCACAGGUAGGCUAGGCUAAAGGAACAGACGCUCACAACUGAAACUUUGGAUUUUAACUUUUGUCCAGGUUUGUGGAUUAAGAGAAUUCUGCGCGUUACCCCGGAAGGCGAUAUGGAGAGAUAGGCUCUAAGGUAAUCAAGACAAAGACAAAGUGAUGGGGCCAAGUCAAAGAAUCUCCAGGUAUAAAACGUUUUCACCGCCGUGUUGCAAACCCUGGUGUUUUAUCAGAGGGACGUUUCGCAGGACAGUCUUCAGGCCGCAGCAGAGGGACGACGUUGGUUGGUGGAGAUAAACAUCAAUCAAACUGGACGCCCCCCAGGGCGAUACCACCCCCGACUCAACAAUAGGGUGUCUUCAUGCUCCCCCGACCCACGUAAACCCCCGCUAAGCCAUCCAGCCCCCCCCCCCCCCC
ensembl:lncRNA